rnacentral:pre_miRNA from 1 species
UUUCUACUCCCUCCGUCCGAAAAUACUUGUCAUCAAAAUGGAUAAAAAGAGAUGUAUCCAAAACUAAAAUACAUCUAGAUACAUUUCCUUUGAUCCAUUUUGAUGACAAGUAUUUCCGGACGGAGGGAGUAUUUG